CACUCCUGCGGGAGGCAGCAGUGGGGAAUAUUGCACAAUGGGCGCAAGCCUGAUGCAGCCAUGCCGCGUGUAUGAAGAAGGCCUUCGGGUUGUAAAGUACUUUCAGCGGGGAGGAAGGCGAUAAGGUUAAUAACCUUGUUGAUUGACGUUACCCGCAGAAGAAGCACCGGCUAACUCCGUGCCAGCAGCCGCGGUAAUACGGAGGGUGCAAGCGUUAAUCGGAAUUACUGGGCGUAAAGCGCACGCAGGCGGUCUGUCAAGUCGGAUGUGAAAUCCCCGGGCUCAACCUGGGAACUGCAUUCGAAACUGGCAGGCUAGAGUCUUGUAGAGGGGGGUAGAAUUCCAGGUGUAGCGGUGAAAUGCGUAGAGAUCUGGAGGAAUACCGGUGGCGAAGGCGGCCCCCUGGACAAAGACUGACGCUCAGGUGCGAAAGCGUGGGGAGCAAACAGGAUUAGAUACCCGUGUAGUCC
rnacentral:rRNA from 1 species